rnacentral:rRNA from 1 species
AGUGAACGCUGGCGGUAGGCCUAACACAUGCAAGUCGAACGGCAGCACAGUAAGAGCUUGCUCUUACGGGUGGCGAGUGGCGGACGGGUGAGGAAUACAUCGGAAUCUACUUUUUCGUGGGGGAUAACGUAGGGAAACUUACGCUAAUACCGCAUACGACCUACGGGUGAAAGCAGGGGAUCUUCGGACCUUGCGCGAUUGAAUGAGCCGAUGUCGGAUUAGCUAGUUGGCGGGGUAAAGGCCCACCAAGGCGACGAUCCGUAGCUGGUCUGAGAGGAUGAUCAGCCACACUGGAACUGAGACACGGUCCAGACUCCUACGGGAGGCAGCAGUGGGGAAUCUUGGACAAUGGGCGCAAGCCUGAUGGAGCCAUGCCGCGUGAGUGAUGAAGGCCUUCGGGUUGUAAAGCUCUUUUGUUGGGGAAGAACAGCUGUGGGUUAAUACCCCGCUGUUCUGACGGUACCCAAAGAAUAAGCACCGGCUAACUACGUG